rnacentral:rRNA from 1 species
AGGAUGGACUCGCGUCCAAUUAGCUAGUUGGUGAGGUAACGGCCCACCAAGGCGACGAUCAGUAGCCGGCUUGAGAGAUUGAUCGGCCACAUUGGGACUGAGACACGGCCCAGACUCCUACGGGAGGCAGCAGUGGGGGAUAUUGCACAAUGGGGGAAACCCUGAUGCAGCGACGCCGCGUGAAGGAAGAAGUAUUUCGGAAUGUAAACUUCUAUCAGCAGGGAAGAUAAUGACGGUACUUGACUAGGAAGCCCCGGCUAAAUACGUGCCAGCAGCCGCGGUAAUACGUAGGGGGCAAGCGUUAUCCGGAUUUACUGGGUGUAAAGGGAGCGCAGGCGGUCCGACAAGUCGGAAGUGAAAGCUAGGGGCUCAACCCAGGAAUUGCUUUCGAAACUGUUUACCUAGAGUACAGCAGAGGUAGGUGGAAUUCCUGGUGUAGCGGUGAAAUGCGUAGAUAUAGGGAGGAACACCAGUGGCGAAGGCGGCUUGCUGGGCGACAACUGACGCUGAGGCUCGAAAGCAUGGGGAGCAAACAGGAUUAGAUACCCUGGUAGUCCACGCCGUAAACGAUGGAUACUAGGUGUGGGGGGUCUGACCCCCUCCGUGCCGCAGCUAACGCAAUAAGUAUCCCACCUGGGGAGUACGAUCGCAAGGUUGAAACUCAAAGGAAUUGACGGGGGCCCGCACAAGCGGUGGAGUAUGUGGUUUAAUUCGAAGCAACGCGAAGAACCUUACCAGGGCUUGACAUCCUACUAACGAACCAGAGAUGGAUUAGGUGCCCUUCGGGGAAAGUAGAGACAGGUGGUGCAUGGUUGUCGUCAGCUCGUGUCGUGAGAUGUUGGGUUAAGUCCCGCAACGAGCGCAACCCUUAUUGUUAGUUGCUACGCAAGAGCACUCUAGCGAGACUGCCGUUGACAAAACGGAGGAAGGUGGGGACGACGUCAAAUCAUCAUGCCCCUUAUGUCCUGGGCCACACACGUACUACAAUGGCGGUUAACAGAGGGAGGCAAAGCCGCGAGGCAGAGCAAACCCCUAAAAGCCGUCCCAGUUCGGAUUGCGGGCUGAAACCCGCCUGUAUGAAGUCGGAAUCGCUAGUAAUCGCGGAUCAGCAUGCCGCGGUGAAUACGUUCCCGGGCCUUGCACACACCGCCCGUCA